rnacentral:rRNA from 1 species
CCGCAAGAUACCACGGGCGCACGGCGGAUGCCUUGGCACAGGGAGCCGAUGAAGGACGCGGCAAGCUGCGAUAAUCCCCGGCGAGGAGCACACAUCCUUCGACCCGGGGGUCUCCGAAUGGGCGAACCCAUGCACAGCGGUGUGCAUAUCCCCCCGCUGAACACAUAGGCGGGGGGAGGACAACCCGGGGAACUGAAACAUCUAAGUACCCGGAGGAGAGGAAAUCAAUCUCGAGACUCCCCGAGUAGCGGCGAGCGAAAGGGGACCGAUGGCCAAACCGUCGAGCGGGCAUACCCGGCAGGGGUUCCGCCGACGGGGUUGCAGGGCCGCGCAUCCGGGGGCUGCCGCCCCCGGGCGCAGGUCCGGCUGGGGAGCGGAACGGCAUGGGAGGGCCGGCCGCAGCGGGUGACAGCCCCGUACGCGAACCCAGACCGGACGGCGCGACGCGGUCCCUGAGUAGGGCCGGGCACGUGAAACCCGGUCCGAACCUGGGUGGACCACCAUCCAAGCCUGAGUACUACCCUGUGACCGAUAGCGCACCAGUACCGUGAGGGAAAGGUGAAAAGCACCCCGGGAGGGGAGUGAAACAGUACCUGAAACCGUGCGCCCACGAGCAGUCGGAGCACCUUUAUGGUGUGACGGCGUGCCUUUUGUAGAAUGAGCCAGCGAGUCGCUGGCGCGGGGCGAGGUUAACCGAAAGGGAGCCGGAGCGAAAGCGAGCCUUAACAGGGCGACUUGAGUCCCGCGCCGCGGACGCGAAGCCGGGUGAGCUAUCCGUGGGCAGGCUGAAGCGGGGGUAAGACCCCGUGGAGGGCCGAACCCACUUCGGUUGAAAACGGAGGGGAUGACCUGUGGAUAGGAGUGAAAGGCUAAUCAAACCCGGAGAUAUCUCGUUCUCCCCGAAAUAGCUUUAGGGCUAGCGUCGCGCGUUCACCGCCGGAGGUAGAGCACCGGAUGGACGAGGGGGCUUCGCCGCCUACCGAAUCCAACCGAACUCCGAAUGCCGGCGGCCCAGAGCGCGGCAGUCAGAGCAUGUGGGCUAAGCUGUGUGCUCGAGAGGGAAACAGCCCGGACCGCCCGCUAAGGUCCCCAAGUUCCAGCCGAGUGGCAAAGGAUGUGCGUCCGCCCAGACAACCAGGAUGUUGGCUUAGAAGCAGCCAUGCAUUCAAAGAGUGCGUAACAGCUCACUGGUCGAGUGGACAUGCGCCGACAAUACACGGGGCUAAGCUGGACACCGAAGCGGCGGGAUUUUAAUUCAUUAGAAUCAGUAGGGGAGCUUCCCAUGGGCGGAGAAGCCGGAGGGCGACCGACGGUGGAGCGCAUGGGAGUGAGAAUGCUGGCAUGAGUAGCGAGAGACGAGAGAGUAACUCGUCCGCCGUGAACCCGAGGUUUCCUGGGCAAGGCUAAUCCUCCCAGGGUCAGUCGGGGGCUAAGGCGAGGCCGGUAGGCGUAGCCGACGCGCAGCAGGCAGACAUUCCUGCACCGCGCACGCGGCGCUACGACCGACGGGGCGACGGAUGGGGGUGGCUCGGCGGGGUUCUGGACGUCCCCGUGAUGGAGCGCGGCCCGCGGACCAGGGAAAUCCGGUCCGCAUCAAGGGCGAGGCUCCGGACGAAGCGACUGAGCGAAGCGAGUGAGCCCGAGGUCCCUAGAAAAACCCCUAGGCAGGCGCGUGCGCGCCCGUACCGCAAACCGACACAGGUGGGUGGGUAGAACAUACCGAGGCGAUCGGGUCAACCAUGGUCAAGGAACUCGGCACAAUGGCCCCGUAACUUCGGGAGAAGGGGUGCCCGCGCGUACGUGAACGGACUUGCUCCGGGAGCGGAGGCGGGCCGCAGUGGAGAGGCCCAAGCGACUGUUUACCAAAAACACAGGACUCUGCAGAAGCCGCAAGGCGACGUAUAGGGUCUGACGCCUGCCCGGUGCCGGAAGGUCACGCGGAGGAGUUAGCCGAUUCGGCGAAGCCCCGAAGCCAAGCCCCGGUAAACGGCGGCCGUAACUAUAACGGUCCUAAGGUAGCGAAAUUCCUUGUCGGGUAAGUUCCGACCUGCACGAA